rnacentral:rRNA from 1 species
GACAGAGGCCUCAAGCGUUAGGCGGAAUCACUGGGCUUAAAGCGUGUGUAGGCGGACGCCUAAGUACCUUGUGAAAUCCCACGGCUCACCCGUGGAACGGCUGGGUAUACUGGGCGUCUUGGGCUAACUAGGGGCAACUGGAACAAGCGGUGGAGCGGUGAAAUGCGUAGAUAUCGGAAGGAACAUCAGUGGCGAAAGCGGCAUCCUGGACCGGUAUUGACGCUGAGGCGCGAAAGCCAGGGGAGCAAACGGG